ensembl:lncRNA
GCUUUUCCUGUGUCUCCUGUAUUGCAGGCAGAUUCUUUACUGCUGAGCAAUUGUGGAAGCCCAUUAGUGAUUGUUCUAACCUUUAAAUCAGCUCGUCUCCAACUGUUAGCUAAUCAAAGGGCCAUGAGAGACGUGCCCUUUUGCUAGUUUGUGGUAACCAAUAAGCCACCUGACACUAAUUACACCAUAAAUAGUAACCUCCCCUCCCCUGGGAGCAUGGACUGCCGCCAUGUCCUACCCACCAGUUGCGUAGUGCGCAUGUUGCUCCAGGACCUUGCUUCAGAAAUUGGUCAUGUAUGGAUGUGAGAGUUGGACUGUGAAGAAAGCUGAGCGCUGAAGAAUUGAUGCUUUUGAACUGUGGCAUUGGAGAAGACUCUUGAGAGUCCCUUGGACUGCAAGGAGAUCCAACCAGUCCAUUCUGAAGGAGAUCAGCCCUGGGUGUUCUUUGGAAGGACUGAUGCUAAAGCUGAAACUCCAGUACUUUGGCCACCUCAUGCGAAAAGUUGACUCAUUGGAAAAGACUCUGAUGCUGGGAGGGAUUGGGGGCAGGAGGAGAAGGGGACGACAGAGGAUGAGAUGGCUGGAUGGCAUCACCGACUCGAUGGACAUGAGUUUGAGUGAACUCUGGGAGUUGGUGAUGGACAGGGAGGCCUGGCGUGCUGUGAUUCAUGGGGUCACAAAGAGUCGGACACGACUGAGUGACUGAACUGAACUGAAUAUAUAUAAAAGAAAUUAAGAUCUCAUUAAUGAACCCACAAGAAUAAUAUUUUGCAAGUAGUAAAUACAUCACACAGUAUCAUCUAAGAGUUGGAAGUGUCCUCGGAGAAGUCAGGAGGACACUAUGAAAAGUGGAAUGAGGUGAGAGGAAAGAAGGAGAAUUAAGCCACCUUGUUUCUGGGUAAGCAUCAAGUUUGGAUGUAUCUGUUAU